rnacentral:lncRNA from 1 species
GGGCCCAGGAAGGGCAGAAGUCCCUGGCUAAGCUCCUCUCUGGAAAGAACAGAAGAGUGACCAGUUCCUCUGUCAGUUUGGUCUCAAUGGCAGAGGCCGGUUCCUUUAAGCUGCAGUCCGUAAAGGGUCUUGGAACGACUGGGGGCCAGGAUUCUCUGAGGGCGGGAAUCCGGGCGGCCGUCAGCUCUCGGUGGUGAUCGAGGCCACGCUCCGCCUGUCUCUGGGCGUGCAUACCUCGGUUUCCCCGUUUGUGACGUGGGAAGGCAAUUAGUCUGGACAUUGUUGUGGGAGGACUUGCGGAGACUGGGCGCAGGGCGUGGGGGUCAGUGAGGGCGCGGUGGGUCAGCCCCAGCCCGGCUGGCAGUCGCGGGGCUGGGAAGGUAGGGAACCCUCCGCUCUCACCCCACUUCCUGUUUGGUCGGUGUGUUCUGUGACCAUAGAUGGUCAAGUCUGGGGCCGCGCGGAAGCCUCCGCCCUGUGGUUUUGGAGCCCUUCCUCCCGGCGCGCAGGGUGUGGUCCCCGAGAAUAAGAUGAGCAGAAUUAAAGCAGAUCCUGCACCCACUCUGCUGAAAUCCGGCUUCUGAGGCAGCCUCGCCCAGGGCUGGGUGGGCUCAGGCGGCUGCUACUCGGUUCAGGGGAGGUUACGCACGGUGGCUGCCGCGCGCAGGGGAGGCUUCGCUUCCGUACUCCUUGGGCCGGGAGAUCCGAUCUUUGUUCCCUCAAGACUCACACUCUCCAACCGGUCAUUAUCCUCCCACAAAGAUUUAUUUCUAGAAAAAAUUGGCAAGUGCCACAGU